rnacentral:tRNA from 1 species
AGCAGUAUAGCUCAGGGGUAGAGCACCUGCUUAACAUGUGCCAGGCCUGGGUUCGACCCCCAGCUCUGCAA